UACGGAGGGGGCAAGCGUUGUUCGGAAUUACUGGGCGUAAAGGGCUCGUAGGCGGCCGACUAAGUCAGACGUGAAAUCCCUCGGCUCAACCGGGGAACUGCGUCUGAUACUGGAUGGCUUGAAUUCGGGAGAGGGAUGCGGAAUUCCAGGUGUAGCGGUGAAAUGCGUAGAUAUCUGGAGGAACACCGGUGGCGAAGGCGGCAUCCUGGACCGACAUUGACGCUGAGGCGCGAAAGCCAGGGGAGCAAACGGG
rnacentral:rRNA from 1 species